AACGAACGCUGGCGGCAGGCUUAACACAUGCAAGUCGAGCGCCCCGCGAGGGGAGCGGCAGACGGGUGAGUAACGCGUGGGAACGUACCCUUUGCUACGGAAUAGCUCCGGGAAACUGGAAUUAAUACCGUAUGUGCCCUACGGGGGAAAGAUUUAUCGGCAAAGGAUCGGAGCGCGUUGGAUUAGCGAGUUGGGGGGGUAAUGGCCUAACAAGGAGACGAUCGAUAGCUGGUCAGAGAGGAUGAUCAGCCACAUUGGGACUGAGACACGGCCCAAACUCCUACGGGAGGCAUCAGUGGGGAAUAUUGGACAAUGGGCGGAAUGCUGAUCCAGCCAUGCCGCGAGAGUGAUGAAGGCCUUAGGGUUGUAAAGCUCUUUCACCGGAGAAGAUAAUGACGGUAUCCGGAGAAGAAGCCCCGGCUAACUUCGUGCCAGCCGCCGCCGUAAAAC
rnacentral:rRNA from 1 species